GACAGAGGGUGCAAACGUUGUUCGGAUUUACUGGGCGUAAAGCGCGUGUAGGCGGCUUGGCAAGUUGGAUGUGAAAGCCCACGGCUCAACCGUGGAAGCGCAUCCAAAACUGCUUCGCUCGAGUCUCGGAGAGGAAGGUGGAAUGCUUGGUGUAGAGGUGAAAUUCGUAGAUAUCAAGCAGAACACCUGCGGCGAAGGCGGCCUCUGGACGGAUGACUGACGCUGAGACGCGAAAGCGUGGGGAGCAA
rnacentral:rRNA from 1 species